GUAACCUAAACCCUAAAGUUUCACGCCUCAUUCCCUCCGCUUCGCUUACGCAGCUUCUUUCUGUCUUUCCAUUCCCUUAGCCGUUGUAUCGGUAAACAGAGAUCCAACAAAUGCAUGCAUCAAAAAUCAAUGGCGGCUGCUAAUCAAAUAAAGAUCUUAUCUUUCACAGCAAAAACAUUACAUAAUCAUCAGAUGAAGAAAUUUGGAGCCGGAACAAACAAACGGAUAUACAGCUAAAGUUUCCUUGCCUUUAUAUAUAUAUAUAUAUAUAUAUAUAUAUAUUUUUUUUUUUUUUGAUGAAUACAUUUACUUU